CCGAAUGAGCGCAAGCGCACUUGAUUUGUUAGGAUUAUGCUUCUUUCUUUCCUUGCAAACUUUUCACAUUUUCCAUUCCGGAACAAGUAUCUGCCGGAAGUGUAGCAAGUUAUUUCCGUUUAAUGGUGGUGGCGUGUUAGCAGUAUUUCGCGAGUGAAGAAAUCUAUUUGUAACGCUUCGGUCUGACGGCAGUGUCGAACAUAGGUAGGAAGACGUGAUUGCUGCUCUGUGUCAUUGUUACUGGUUGGCUACACUGGCAGUCUCCCAUAACCUCAGUUUAAGUUACAUCGAUCCCAACUGGGAGUCCCAUGUCAAGCUGUAAAGCUGUGAAGGUGGAAGAUGUACAACGGUUUACCACUGCAUUGUGUUUUAUGGAUCCCAGCCAGGUUUCAGUGUUUCACUCUCAAUUGCCGGUAAAACGAGGAGGAAAGCUAAAGCAUCGGCAGAUCAACAACAACUGACCUUCGUCAUACCCGUGACCUGAAUACGAAGCAGGAUUGCUUAUGAUGAUAAUAUAAGGGUUGGUGGAGAGAGUCGCAUUGACAGAAUACUUGUCGGUAGUUGAUCUGACGUCGAAUUUUAAUUGUUUGUAAACCACUACUCCUAUUUUGUACUGAUUAAAUAUCUUCAUGCCUUUGUUUCUGUUUUAUUAUAGAGUUUGAGAUGUCUUUAACACACAUUUUAGUAUUAUCCUUUGUACGUACAGGUUUCACAAAUGGUCGUCUGGUUUACAGACUGAAGUUCUGUAUGCGUUUCUCGCCUUUCGUAUUUGUUCUGUCCAUAUCACAUUCCAUGAUUUCAUCGCCCCAAUAGUAUUUAUAGCCCAUGAAUGGUGUGCACAUUGCAAAGCUGAUCGUUAGUGAAUGAGAUUUUCUCAUUCCAUUGGUGACUUACUGUCUUACG